rnacentral:rRNA from 1 species
AGAGUUUGAUCCUGGCUCAGAUUGAACGCUGGCGGUAUGCUUAACACAUGCAAGUCGAACGGAAACGAAACUAGCUUGCUAGUAGGCGUCGAGUGGCGGACGGGUGAGUAACGCGUAGGAAUCUGCCUGAUAGUGGGGGAUAGCCCGAAGAAAUUCGGAUUAAUACCGCAUAAUCUAUUCGUAGCAAAGUGGGGGACUUUCGAGCCUCACGCUAUCAGAUGAGCCUGCGUAAGAUUAGCUUGUUGGUAGGGUAAAAGCCUACCAAGGCAACGAUCUUUAGCUGGUCUGAGAGGAUGAUCAGCCACAUCGGGACUGAGAUACGGUCCAGACUCCUACGGGAGGCAGCAGUAAGGAAUUUUGGGCAAUGGGCGAAAGCCUGACGCAGCCACGCCGCGUGAGGGAUGAAGGCUCUCGGGUUGUAAACCUCUUUCAGCAGGGACGAAAAUGACGGUACCUGCAGAAGAAGCUCCGGCCAACUACGUGCCAGCAGCCGCGGUAACACGUAGGGAGCGAGCGUUGUCCGGAUUUAUUGGGCGUAAAGAGCUCGUAGGCGGUUCGGUAAGUCAGGUGUGAAAGCUCGAGGCUCAACCUCGAGAGGCCACCUGAUACUGCUGUGACUUGAGUCCGGUAGGGGAGUGUGGAAUUCCUGGUGUAGCGGUGAAAUGCGCAGAUAUCAGGAGGAACACCUACAGCGAAGGCAGCACUCUGGGCCGGUACUGACGCUGAGGAGCGAAAGCGUGGGGAGCGAACAGGAUUAGAUACCCUGGUAGUCCACGCCGUAAACGUUGGGCACUAGGUGUGGGGUCGAAUUAACCGAUUCCGUGCCGUAACUAACGCAUUAAGUGCCCCGCCUGGGGAGUACGGCCGCAAGGCUAAAACUCAAAGGAAUUGACGGGGGCCCGCACAAGCGGCGGAGCAUGUUGCUUAAUUCGAGGCAACGCGAAGAACCUUACCUGGGUUUGACAUGUAGGGAAAAGCCAUAGAGAUAUGGUGUCCUUAUGGGCCCUACACAGGUGGUGCAUGGCUGUCGUCAGCUCGUGCCGUGAGAUGUUGGGUUAAGUCCCGCAACGAGCGCAACCCUUGUCCUAUGUUGCCAGCGGGUAAUGCCGGGGACUCGUAGGAGACUGCCGGGGUCAACUCGGAGGAAGGUGGGGACGACGUCAAGUCAUCAUGCCCCUUAUAUCCAGGGCUGCAAACAUGCUACAAUGGCCGGUACAGAGGGCUGCAAAACCGCGAGGUUGAGCGAAUCCCAAAAAGCCGGUCUCAGUUCGGAUUGGAGUCUGCAACUCGACUCCAUGAAGGCGGAGUCGCUAGUAAUCCCGGAUCAGCAACGCCGGGGUGAAUACGUUCCCGGGCCUUGUACACACCGCCCGUCACACCACGAAAGUUGGCAACGCCCGAAGUCAGUGGCCCGACUCUUUGAGAGGGAACUGCCGAAGGUGGGGUUAGCGAUUGGGGUGAAGUCGUAACAAGGUAACC